rnacentral:rRNA from 1 species
UGGGGAAUUUUCCGCAAUGGGCGAAAGCCUGACGGAGCAAUGCCGCGUGGAGGUGGAAGGCCUACGGGUCGUCAACUUCUUUUCACGGAGAAGAAACAAUGACGGUAUCUGAGGAAUAAGCAUCGGCUAACUCUGUGCAAG